GGCCUCGGCAUAUAUUCUUCUCUCUACCUCGAAUACUUUAAAAAAGAGAUUUAUUUAUUUUCUGGCUGUGGUGAGUCUUCAUUGCUGCAUGUGGGCUUUUUCGAGUUGUGUGUGCGCAAAUCUCCAAGAUUAAUAUGAGACCUUUCGGAUGACUGAAUAAGGAAGAAAUCUGGAGAACAUAUAUGUGGGGCUCCAACGUUCGAUCUGGCACCACUGCUACUGUUUACUGGAGACAGAGCACGAGGACCCAGCACUGGCUGGCGCAGCUGCAAACCCUGGAAGGUGUUCAGGUCACCCAUGAGUGAGGUGUUUAAGAGGGUGCUGGCUACUGAGACAAGUAAGAACCUCUUCAAUUUGGCUUGUUGUUUAGUCGCUAAGUCAUGUCCAACUCUUAUGUGAUGCCAUGUACUAUAGACCACUAGACUCCUCUGUCCAUGGGAUUCUCCAGGCAAGAUUACUGGAGUGGGUUGCCAUUUCCUUCUCCAGGGGAUCUUCCUGACCCAGAGAUUAAGCCUGCAUCUCCUGCAUUGCAGCCAGAUUCCUGACCACUCAGCCAUCAGGAGGCCCCUCAAUUUGCCUUUCUCACCAUGGUAAAUGGUACCCACAGAUUUCUGUGCCUUGGGUCAAAUAUCAAAGGACUGUGCAUUAGUUUCCCACGGCUGCUGUAACAAAUAUCUAAAAGCUUGACGGCUGAAGACAACAGGAAUCUAUUCUCAUGGUUCUGGAGGCCAGAAGCACACAAUUGGUACCGCUGGGUGGAGAUGAAGCUGUGCGUGGGGCUGCUCUCCCUCCAGAGGCCUUGUGAAAGGAUCAGUUCCUCAAGUCUUCCAGUUUCUGGUGGUUCCUGGUGUUCCUUGAUUUGUGGUUGCAUCAUGCUAAUCUUCAGGCUACGAUUUAUUAUGAUAAAAGGAUGCAAAGCAAAAUCGGCAAAGAGAAGAGGUACAUGGGACAGAGACCAGAGGAAACCAGGUGUUGGCUUUCAAGACUUAAUUCCAUUGGAGUCACUGAACCCAUUAAAAUUUCUCCAGCCACAAAUUGAGACAACAGCACAUCAAGUUGCUUCUGAAGAAUCAAGACAAUCUGUAUGCUGAGUGAUGUUCAGUCACCUCCUGAGUAGCAGGUCUGGCUGGCACAGUGAUGUUGAGUCCAGGCUCCCUUCCAAAGGCAUUGUUAUUUAUAGGAGAGUGUCCACUGAAGCCAAGGAUCAAUGCUGCUGGAACACUAAGAAGCCAAAUAGAAGUAAACUGCUCAUCUUAAAACCCAAGCUCCAGACUUCCAGUAGGGAAAAGUAAGCAAGUCAGCAAUCAUCUCCCUAGAAAAUAAUGAUAAAAUGAGAACAGCACCCAUUUCAGGGCUCUGGAAAUUGACUAAAGGCAAACAACAAGCUGGAAAGUGUUUUGUUUUGUUUCUUCUUCAUAAAGAACUUCUAUAUCUUAUUAAGAAUAAUGGAGUUCUUUGGCAUUCUUGCCUGGGACUGCUCCCAGCCAGUCCUGUGCCAGCUCAGUGAGAAGGUUCUAGCAGGACUGGACAUACUGAAAAAGCCUGCAGCUUCAGUCCUGGUGCUCAUUAGCUCAGUCAUGUUCAACUCUGUGAGAACCCAUGGAUUCUAGCCCACCUGGUCCCUCUGUCCAUGGGAUUUUGCUGGCAAGAAUACUGGAGCAGGUUGCCAUGCCUUUCUCCAGGGGAUCUUCCUGAUCCAGGGAUGGAAUCUGCAUCUCCUGCAUUGGGAGGCGGAUUCUUUACCACUGAGCCACCUGGGAAGCCAUUAAUGCUGGAGGGCAUGCAACUGAGUUUCGGUAGAAAACCCAGCCCUGGUUGUGUUAAAGGAAUGAUCCUGGUGGCAAGUGAACAAGGAAAGCCAGCACUUUGUUGACCUGAGGCUGCAGUCCAGGAAAAAGCAAUAUUAUGGGUGACAAUCCAGGCAUUGAAUAGGGAGAUCCUAGAAAUGAGACACUACAGAGCAGCUUGAACAAUUACCCCAGAUCCCCCAGCUGUCUUCUGAGCAUGUGCAGGGCAGGGUGGUGGGGGAUCAGAGGUGAUACAAGCUAUUCACCCAUCCCCAGCUAACUGAUGUCAUGAACUUGCAGAGAUGUGGAUGGGCAUGAGAAAAUCUUACUGGGUUGAUAGAAAUGUUCUAAAACUGGAUUGUGGUGCUGUUUGCUCAACUCUAUAAAUUUAUCCCAAAUCACUCAUUUUAUACUCAAAACAGAUUUUAAGGUAUGUGAAUUACAUAUACAUCAAUAAAUCUGUUAAAAACAUUCAAGUUCUAAUAAAUACCUCUAAAAAAUGUUUUAUUUUCUU
ensembl:lncRNA